GUUCAGGGUGUCAAUAACAGAUUUUAUCUGUUCAGUCAUCUGCUCUAGUUCCCUCCCUAUAAGCUCAGCUUGCUCAUACAUUGCAUCUCGAGUUGAUGCAGCUUCAUCAUCAAGAAGCAACCCACGCUCAUCCUUGUAAAUACGUUCAGCUUCCUCUUCCAUACUCUGCAAGGCCUUAUCAACCUCCUGUUGAUGGGUCUCAAUUAACUCCAAUUGCCGUUCCAAGUUAGCUUGUGUCUCAACCACUUUUGCCACCUCAAUCUCAAGCCUAAGAAGAACAUCACGAUUGUGCAAGAUUCUCUUAUCCCAUUCAGCUAUU
rnacentral:misc_RNA from 1 species